rnacentral:rRNA from 1 species
CCUACGGGGGGCAGCAGUGGGGAAUAUUGGACAAUGGGCGCAAGCCUGAUCCAGCCAUGCCGCGUGAAUGAUGAAGGCCUUAGGGUUGUAAAAUUCUUUCAACGGUGAAGAUAAUGACGGUAACCGUAGAAGAAGCCCCGGCUAACUUCGUGCCAGCAGCCGCGGUAAUACGAAGGGGGCUAGCGUUGUUCGGAAUUACUGGGCGUAAAGCGCACGUAGGCGGGCUGAUUAGUUGGUGGUGAAAUCCCAGAGCUCAACUCUGGAACUGCCAUCAA